rnacentral:tRNA from 1 species
GCCCAGGUGGUGGAAUUGGUAGACACGCAGGACUUAAAAUCCUGACGAUUUAAAAAUCAGUAGAUUGGCUAAACGCUACUGGUAGAGAGGAAAAGAAGGGUUUUUAAAUUUUGGAAUUUUUGUUUGGGUU